GAAUGUCACUUGCCCAGUAGUUCAUUUUGAGGCAUGAGUAGACACAAAAUGAUUGUGAAUUCUGUGAAUAAUGCAGACCGAAGUUAUAGUUAUCGGUAACUUCCAGUUGUCUGUAGUCUGAGUUGGCCGCGAUUAUGACCCCAUCACAGGGGGUCGGCUUAUGUACAAAACAUACCAUUUUGAUCUGUCACAUGACAGCGAUCAUGUACUUAUAGCAGUCUUCUCAUCCAGCUGGUCUUGUGUUCAUGAAUCCAUACUUGAAGUCGAUCAUUUAUUGAUAACUGAUCGAGAGAAGACAUCGAUAAUCGAUUAUGGUUUUAGAGGUCGAUUCCCAACACUAAUACUUUCUGAGUAAAGUACA